rfam:Gossypium raimondii chromosome 10, whole genome shotgun sequence.
AAACCAUGAUUCGAGAAUUUUUUUAAUUAGUUCCUUCAAAUCCUCUCAUGCUUCAUAUAAUGUCUCAUCUUUAGAUUGCCUAAACGAUGUAAUGUCGUUCCUAAGCUU